GGGGGGUAGAAGACGUCAAAGUGCAAAUUUGAAGAAGCACCCCAAAAGGUGCCCCGGCU
rnacentral:tRNA from 1 species